rnacentral:misc_RNA from 1 species
UUUUUUGCACUUGACUGGGUGGACAGUUGACCGGAAGAGAACUUAGAUUCGCCCGGCCAGCAGGCGGGCGGUGUGCUUAUCUUGUGUGACAACACUACAGAGCGAGUGGCGCUUCUAGGCGGGCAGCUGUGUGACAACACUACAGAGAAAGCGGCGCUUUCGUGUAACAUGCUAUGGUCUCAAUGCCCUUACGAGGUAGUGAUGAGUUUCACGCGCUCUAAGCCCGGCCCGCGCGCGGUUAGGAAGAUUGGCCGCAAUCGGAGCGGUACCACCCACCCUACCCUACCACCUAUAGGCGGCCGUCCGUCCUACAGCCGCCCGAAAAGGAACUGCAGUGAUCUUGAAUAGG